UGCAUAGGCCGGGAAUCGAACCCAGGCCGCCCGCGUGGCAGGCGAGCAUUCUGCCACUGAACCGCCGAUGG
rnacentral:tRNA from 1 species